rnacentral:tRNA from 1 species
GGCCCUGUAGCUGGAAGGUUCAAGCAAGCGACUCAUAAUCGCCAGAUGGUGGUUCAAUUCUACCCAGGGCCA